CGAAAACAGGAGACCUAGCUGGAGGUGCCAGAGCUGGAAAUGCUGAGCCUAAAAGAACAUUCAUGGGUGUAGUGAAAGAGGACGUGCGAAGGAAUGGUAUGAAGGCAGAUGAUGCUACAGUGACCCCUAAAGGAAGCAGCUGAAAUGAUCAUCAUCAUCAUCAUCAUCAUUAUUAUUUGUCUCCAACAGUGCUCCCCCAGCAGACCAACAAACUACACUGCAUUCUCAGCAACUGAGUGAUAGACAAGCGCCAUCAUUUUGCUGCACAUGAUUUUUGGAUACAGCCUCUGCAUUUGGCCUUCCAGUUCAACCUGUAGAUGUGGAUGCCUAGGUAGUUGUACUGCUCCAUCAAGUCAACAUCUUGUCCCAGGACAGAAACGGGGAAUAUAGCCAUCCUCUUUCAGAAGCAGAUGAUUACUUCCAGACCACUCCACAAAAUCACCCACCAGUGCGCUGUACUAGUAAAAACAACUGAACUGUUAUGUUAUUUGCCACAAACACUUUGGGGUUAAUUCCUCAUGUGAAUUUGACAAAUUACCAGUGUGAUAUAUAUAAACAUAAAUGAUCAUAUGUCAGCCUGGAAAGCAUUUUUAUCUCUUUAUCCCCUUACCCUGCACCCUGAGACAAUGCACCACAUUUUGAUUGGCUCAACUUUACAAGUCAUCACAUGUGAGAAAACCAUGUGGCUGAAAAAGAGAAGUGCAUGUAUCCCUGGUGACACCUCAAAAAGGAACAGGAAAUGCACAAGUGUAUGAAGAGUUUAAUAUAAGAGCAUAAAAUGAAAUUUCAACUUCAGUUUUGAUAUUGAGAUAUAUGAUCAGACAGUCAAAUCUUCAGCCUUUAUAGCAUGUGCACAUUUAUCUAUUUAGUUACAAAAUGAAUACCAAACAUUCCCCCUACAGAUUUUGGUGGGAUGUGAUAACCACAAUUGCAAUUUGGGAAAUGAACAAGGCGAAACUUAUUUACUUGCUUAUUUAAUAAAAUCUCUCCAUAGACAUCAUAACUUCAGUGUAAUACAAUAUAGAAUUAUAUGCAUAGAUUUUAACUCAAAGUGCAGCUAACAGGAAAAAAACUAGAUCAAAGUACUAUUUGAUGUAACCACUCUGUGUUUUUGAGCAUGCAAUGUAGGUACACAUGCACACAUAUAGUUUGCACACAUCUGUAAUUAGUUUGUUAUGUUGUGAGAAUUUGGGGCCAAUCAGAAAUUUGCUUGUAAGCGUCUGAGUCAUUCUGACCCAUGAGUAGUGAAACAGUAUCACAGCAUCGUUAAAACUCCUGUUUUAAUAUAUCAGCAUCACAUGUUUCACAUUUUUCAUGUGAAACCUUUGUCUGCUAAACGUAACAAAUAAAUGUGGUGAGAAAAAAAAAGCAUCAGAUGAGUGGAAUGAUGACGUAAUACCGAUAAAUCAUCCAUCCAUCCAUCCAUCCAUCCAUCCAUCCAUCCAUCCAUCCUUCCAUUCAUCCAUCCAUCCAUCCAUCCUUCCAUUCAUCCAUCCAUCCAUCCAUCCAUCCAUCCAUCCAUCCAUCCAUCCAUCCAUCCAUCCAUCCAUCCAUCUUCUUUUGCUUAUCCAGGGCUGGGUUGUGGCAGCAGCCCAAGCAAAGAAGCCCAGAUCUCCCCAGCCACCUCCUCCAGCUUAUCCGGGGGAACACCAAGGCGUUCCCAGGCCAGCCGAGAGAUAUAAUCUCUCCAGCGUGUCUUGGGUCUGCCCCAGCCUCCUCCCUCCUGAUAAACCAAUUCAAGUAAAAGUACAGUAACUGCAAUUUUUGGAUUAUAUCUCAAUACAUCACACCAAACAAACCCAGAAAAUAAUCAGGACACACCUUCAGGUUGCACAAAGCCCAAAAUAAACACACAACAGUGAUGAAAUCUUAUUAUUGCUCAUGAAGGUUUUCAUACUCCUUAUUAUUAUCAAUAACUUAGAUAAUGAUGAAAUAAUCCAGUUCAUUAAGGAAGCUUUUGUGUGUAAACUAGAAAAGAAAGAUCUCAAGGAAACAGCAAACAACCAGACUGCCACUCACUUUACACCUCGCUGUUGCACACACACACACACACACACACACACACACACACACACACACACACACACACACACACACACACACACACACACACACACACACACACACACA